AGAGAAGGGCUUGUUAAUAGGGAAUCGUAGCAUUUGGCAAAGCUGUGCUUGGUGACAAGGAGAAAUGGGAGCUGACGUGAACUAUACAACUCAUGUGGCGUAGGAUAAUGAUAAGAAGGAUGAAACAAGUCUGGAGAGAGAAAUAGGGCUCGUUUCAUUUUAUUGGGUUUUUCUCUGUAAAAUCAGCAAGAAUCUGUGGUUCAAUGGGGUUUUUCUGUGUAAUUUGCAGGUUUCAAAGCUUGUGGUUCUAGAGAGAAAGAUGACUCUUUUCAUUUUUUUGAGUCUUUCUCUGUAAAAUGAGCAAAAAGACUGUGGUGUAAUGGGGUUUUUCUCUGUAAUUUGCAAGUUUUAAAGCUUGUGGUUCUAGAGAGAAACAUGGCUCUUUUCAUUUUCUUGGGUUUUUCUUUGUAAAAUCAACAAGAAGACUACGAUUCAAUGGGGUUUUUCUCUGCAAUUUGCAGGUUUCAAAGCUUCUAGUUUUAACGAGAGAAACAUGGCUCUUUUCAGUUUUUUUGGGGUUUUCUAUGUAAAAUCAGCAAGAAGACUGGGGUUCAAUGGGUUUUUCUCUGUAAUUAUGGGA
rnacentral:lncRNA from 1 species